rnacentral:rRNA from 1 species
AGAGUUUGAUCCUGGCUCAGAGUGAACGCUGGCGGCGUGCUUAACACAUGCAAGUCGAACGAGAACGGGUUAUAGCUUGCUAUAACUGUCAGCUAAGUGGCGCACGGGUGAGUAAUAUAUAGGUAACGUGCCCUAGAGAAGAGGAUAACAUUUGGAAACGAAUGCUAAUACUCUAUAUGCCCUUAAGACUUAAGUCUGCAGGGGAAAUAUUUAUAGCUCUAGGAUCGGCCUGUACGGUAUCAGCUUGUUGGUGAGGUAAUGGCUCACCAAGGCAAUGACACCUAACUGGUUUGAGAGGAUGAUCAGUCACACUGGAACUGAGACACGGUCCAGACUCCUACGGGAGGCAGCAGUGGGGAAUAUUGCACAAUGGAGGAAACUCUGAUGCAGCAACGCCGCGUGGAGGAUGACGCAUUUCGGUGUGUAAACUCCUUUUAUAUGUCAAGAAAAUGACGGUAGCAUAUGAAUAAGCACCGGCUAACUCCGUGCCAGCAGCCGCGGUAAUACGGAGGGUGCAAGCGUUAUUCGGAAUCACUGGGCGUAAAGGACGCGUAGGCGGGAAGCCAAGUCUGAUGUGAAAUCCUAUGGCUCAACCAUAGAACUGCAUUGGAAACUGGUUACCUAGAGUAUGGGAGGGGGAGAUGGAAUUAGUGGUGUAGGGGUAAAAUCCGUAGAUAUCACUAGGAAUACCGAAAGCGAAGGCGAUCUCCUGGAACAAUACUGACGCUAAGGCGUGAAAGCGUGGGGAGCAAACGGGAUUAGAUACCCCGGUAGUCCACGCCCUAAACGAUGAACACUAGUCGUCGGAAUGCUAGUCAUUUCGGUGAUGCACUUAACAGAUUAAGUGUUCCGCCUGGGGAGUACGGUCGCAAGAUUAAAACUCAAAGGAAUAGACGGGGACCCGCACAAGUGGUGGAGCAUGUGGUUUAAUUCGAAAAUACGCGAAGAACCUUACCCGCUCUUGACAUCCACAGAACUUUCCAGAGAUGGAUCGGUGCCUUCGGGAACUGUGAGACAGGUGCUGCAUGGCUGUCGUCAGCUCGUGUUGUGAAAUGUUGGGUUAAGUCCCGUAACGAGCGCAACCCUUGUCCUCAUUUGCCAGCACGUAAUGGUGGGAACUCUAAGGAGACUGCCGGUGACAAACCGGAGGAAGGUGGGGACGACGUCAAGUCAUCAUGGCCCUUACGAGCGGGGCUACACACGUGCUACAAUGGCCAGGACAAACGGUUGCAACCACGCGAGGGUGAGCCAAUCUGAGAAACCCGGUCGUAGUCCGGAUCGGAGUCUGCAACUCGACUCCGUGAAGUCGUAAUCGCUAGUAAUCGUGGAUCAGAAUGCCACGGUGAAUACGUUCCCGGGCUUUGUACACACCGCCCGUCACACCAUGGGAGUGGAUUGCACCAGAAGUUGGGAAGCUAACCUUCGGGGGGCUACCACUUACGGUGGAAUUAGCGACUGGGGUGAAGUCGUAACAAGGUAACC